CCACCGACUGAUGAAUGGAUAAACAAAAUGUGUACACAUGCAGUGGAACAGUAUUCGGUCUUGAAAAGGGAAGCGGGGCUGCUCCGCGCUGCACCAUGCGUAAACCUUGAACACGUUGUGCUGAGUGAAAGAAGCUGGUCACGAAGACCACCUGUUGUGAGUCCAUUUAUACUAAAUGUCUGCAAUAAGCAAAUCCAUAGAGACAGAAAGUAGAUUAGUGGUUUCCAGGGGCUGAAGGGAGGGGGAAAUGGGGAGGGACUGCAAAUGGGUAGGUUUUUGGGGUGGAGUGGGGAUAUGAAAAUGUUCUGGAAUUAGAUAAUGGUGAUGGUUGCAGGACUUUGUGAACAUACUAAAAACCACUGAAUUGUACACUUUAAAAGGUAGAAUUCUAUGGUAUGUGAAUUAUAUCUCAAUUUUUAAAAAAAAAAUAAGGAAAAAAUGACGCCGAUGGAGAGGAGUUAGGAAACAAUGAAAUGGAGCGCGAGUGUCGCCUGUCCCCGUGGUAUCCAUCUGAACGAACUUUGGGCCCAGGAUAGGCGCACCAAGAGGGCCUGGGGGAAGCGACGCCGGGGGCAGGAUCCAGGAAGAAACAGGUCGCGGGAUGCGAAGGGAACGCGGUUAAGGCGGCGGCCCGGGAUCGCCUAGGACCAGGGAGGCGCCCGGCGGCUCAGAAGUUGGCCGAGCCGAGCGGAGAUUUAAAGGUUGGAGCGCAGAGGCUCUUAAAGAGGCCCGGGCGAAUUCCCAUUCGGCGUCCACCUUAACGCCGGCGCCGCGGCGCCACGGGUCGGACCCGGCUAAGUGCGCGGCGCCGCGGGGGAGGCAGCGGCGCGGGCCCAGUUCCGUGGCCCGGCCCGGGGGACUCGGCGCGGGUGGCCCGGACUUGGCGGGCCGCGCGCCCGGGUGGCCGGGCGGCACGCGGGGGCGGCGGGGUCGCGGCGCCGGCCCGGCUCCCCCCGCGCCCAGGCGGCGCUCUAUUUUUAGCAGGCGCUGUUGCAAUAUAAGGAAUGCGCGGCGCGCCGGGGCUCGGGGCGCGCGCGGGCUGAGCGGUCGCUUUAAGGAGGCGCCGGGGCGGGGACGGGCGAGAGCGGCCGGCGGGCCCGCGGGCCGGGAGCCGUCAGUCCGGCUGCCGCGGGGCCGGGCGGGCGCGGCGCUGCCUCCUCGCCGGCGCGGGCAUGGAGGAGGCGGCCUGAGGGCCAGAGCCGAGCGGGGCCGGAGCGCGCGGCUCCCACGUAACGGUGUGCUAUCGAGAAAUCGGCCACGAUCGAGACCCCAGUGGGGAGGGCCUGCCCACCGCCCAGAGAGCCCCUUUCCUGGUAACCGCCCUUGGGUUCCAUGUCUGCCCUGGCGAGAACCCGCGGGGAGGUGGGCGGCUGGGCUGGGGGUGGGGGUGGGGGCGGGGGCUCUUUCUCCCCUUUUAAAAUGGCGUAACAAGGGCAGGGAUCCGCCGGGGGGACUUGUCAGAGUCAUCAGAAUAAUGAAAAGCAGCCUGCUUCAUAAACAACCCUGCACUGCGCCGGGGCUUGGGGCUCUGGUCGCAGCGAGGGCCCGGCUCAUUCAUUGA
rnacentral:lncRNA from 1 species